rnacentral:rRNA from 1 species
UAACGCGUGGGUAACCUGCCUCAUACAGGGGGAUAACAGUUAGGAAUGACUGCUAAUACCGCAUAAGCGCACAGUGCUGCAUGGCACAGUGUGAAAAACUCCGGUGGUAUGAGAUGGACUCGCGUCUGAUUAGCUAGUUGGUGGGGUAACGGCCUACCAAGGCGACGAUCAGUAGCCGGCCUGAGAGGGUGAACGGCCACAUUGGGACUGAGACACGGCCCAA